rnacentral:rRNA from 1 species
UUGGAGGGCAAGUUUGGUGCCAGCAGCCGCGGUAAUACCGACUCCAAGAGUGUGUAUGAGAGAUGCUGCAGUUAAAAAGUCCGUAGUCAUAGAAGGGCAAAGAGAGAUGCGAGGUCUCACAGUGCGAUGAUGGAGGAGCCGAUGGGGAACAUAGUAUACCAGGGCGAGAGAUGAAAUGCCAAGACCCCUGGUGGACUGAGCGAGGCGAAGGCGAUGUUCUUGUAGGCAUUCGGUGAUCAAGGACGAAGGCUGGAGUAUCGAAAGUGAUUAGAUACCGCAGUAGUUCCAGCAGUAAAAGAUGCCGACAUGCUCAUUGGACACAGUGGGCAGGGAGAAAUCUUAGAGUUCGGGCUCUGGGGAUAGUAUGCUCGCAAGGGUGAAAAUUAAAGAAAUUGACGGAGCUACACCACAAGGAGUGGAUUGUGCGGCUUAAUUUGACUCAACGCGAGGAAACUUACCAGGGCCAAGUAUUGUGUAGAAACGAGCAAUACAGGAGUGGUGCAUGGUCGUUGGAAAUUGAUGGGAUGACUUUGACCUUAAAUGGUUGAAUGAGUGAGAUCUUUUGGACAUGUUCCGCACGGAACAGGAAGGAAAAGGCUAUAACAGAUCCGAGAUGCCCUCAGAUGCCCUGCGGCUGCACGCGCAAUACAAUAGCAGGUAGAGAUAGAGACAGGAAGGUGCUCAGAUGGACUAUGUGCUGUAAGGCACAUACGAAAGAGGA